GCCUUAGGUCGACCCGCUGAAUUUAAGCAUAUCACUAAGCGGAGGAAAAGAAACUAACCAGGAUUCCCCUAGUAACGGCGAGUGAAGAGGGAAAAGCCCAGCACCGAAGCCUGCGGCAGUUUUGCUGUUAGGCAAUGUGGUGUUUGGGCCGGCUCGCGGGAUUGCCACUCCACUCGAAGUCCAGCAUUGAGUAUGGUCACUGGAUUUGGCCCAGAGAGGGUGAAAGGCCCGUACGGGUGGAGGUUCAGACAUGUAAGGCAAUUCACCAGGCCGGCCUUCGAGUCGGGUUGUUUGGGAAUGCAGCCCAAAGCGGGUGGUAAACUCCAUCCAAGGCUAAAUACAAGCACGAGUCCGAUAGCGAACAAGUACCGUGAGGGAAAGUUGAAAAGUACUUUGAAGAGAGAGUAAACAGUACGUGAAACCGCAUGCAGGUAAACGGGUGGCGUCAAGCUGCAAGCCCAGAGGAUUCAGCUGGCUAGGUUGUUGAGUAUGCGCCUGCGCAUCCAUCAGUCAGAGUAGGAUGUGAUAGUCCACUGGUAAACGGUGGCCCUGGCCGCAAGGUUGGGUGACGUGUACCGGGUGGAAGCCGGAGCGUGCUAUCCGUCUAGGGACUGUCUAGCCAGUGCACUUUCUCUGUGGUGAACACCACGACCGGUGGUAUUGCCAGUCUGCUGUAGUCAAGUCGUGUUCGGUAGGUCCUUGUGGCCAACUGGAUGCGAUCACAGACAAUGUCAGUAAACGGCGUAGAGGUGUUUCGGCACUUUUGCGUGUUAUCGGCUACUGCUUGUCAACGGGCCUGCCUAGUGAUUGUUGUAACCGUGGCUGGGUGGUCCGGUGGACUAUGGUGGUAAGAAUAACUGUGCAAGGCACCGGAGUUAUCGGCCUCAAAUGCAUCUCACCUACGCGUUACAAGUGGUGUGGAGUGCUGUUGCUGCCUGCCUGUUGUUGAGUCUGAUUGUCGUGUCGCCUGCGCAAAGUGGGCCCGGCAGUGGCUUGAUGCAGGAUGGGUAGUGGAUGGUGCUUCCUGUGUGAGAUGUGGUGGGCCUAAUAGUCAGUGGUGUAGUGGUAGACGAGCUACCCGACCCGUCUUGAAACACGGACCAAGGAGUUUAACAUGUAUGCGAGUCAAUGGGUCCUACGAAACCCAAAGGCGCAGUGAAAGUAAAGCUUCGACUUGUUCUCGGAGUGAGGUGAGAUCCUGCUGUUACUCGCAUCAGCCUUAUGUCAGCAUCAGGCUAAGAGCAGUGGGCGCAUCACCGGCCCGUCCCAUGAUGUGGUCAUUGGAUUGUCUGCAGUAGUCGCUUGCGGUUGCUGUGGCGCCAGUGCGUCAUCGGGGCGGUGCAUGAGCAUACAUGUUGAGACCCGAAAGAUGGUGAACUAUGC
rnacentral:rRNA from 1 species